GACGAACGCUGGCGGCGUGCUUAACACAUGCAAGUCGAACGCUGAAGCUUGGUGCUUGCACUGGGUGGAUGAGUGGCGAACGGGUGAGUAAUAAGUGAGUAACCUGCCCUUGACUCUGGGAUAAGCCUGGGAAACUGGGUCUAAUACUGGAUACGACAUGUCACCGCAUGGUGGUGUGUGGAAAAGGUUUUACUGGUUUUGGAUGGGCUCACGGCCUAUCAGCUUGUUGGUGGGGUAAUGGCUCACCAAGGCGACGACGGGUAGCCGGCCUGAGAGGGUGACCGGCCACACUGGGACUGAGACACGGCCCAGACUCCUACGGGAGGCAGCAGUGGGGAAUAUUGCACAAUGGGCGGAAGCCUGAUGCAGCGACGCCGCGUGAGGGAUGACGGCCUUCGGGUUGUAAACCUCUUUCAGCACGGAAGAAGCGAAAGUGACGGUACGUGCAGAAGAAGCGCCGGCUAACUACGUG
rnacentral:rRNA from 1 species